UACAGAGGGGGCAAGCGUUGUUCGGAAUUACUGGGCGUAAAGGGCGCGUAGGCGGCCUCUUAAGUCGAACGUGAAAUCCCCGGGCUUAACCCGGGAACUGCGUCCGAUACUGGGAGGCUUGAAUUCGGGAGAGGGAUGCGGAAUUCCAGGUGUAGCGGUGAAAUGCGUAGAUAUCGGGAGGAACACCGGUGGCGAAGGCGGUUCUCUGGGCAUGUCCUGACGCUGAGGAGCGAAAGUGUGGGGAGCGAACAGG
rnacentral:rRNA from 1 species